CUUACAAAGCUCUUGAAUCUCCUCUGAGGGUUUGGUCAGAAACCAUCCGGUUGACCACACACACCCAGGGUCAGGGACCUCACUAUUCCAAAGGCAGCCUCUACAAUUUGGGGGGCAUUCUGAUGGUAACAGAGACCUGACACAGACUAGGAUCAAAUCAGUACUGAACUAGUGGUCUUCGUUCAGUAAUUUGCAGCCACGGAGACCAAGUCUAAUUCCUCUUUUCUGUAACUUUCUAAUUAUCAUCAGAAUUUGAGCUCUUAUAUGUGGGUAGGUACUGUGUUAAGUAAUUGAUAUACACAUCUCAUUUACUAUACACACAAUCGUGUGAUGUAGGUAUCAUUAGCAUUUUCAUUUUAUGGAUGACCUGACGGAGUCUAUACAGCGAGUUAACAUCAGAAUGAUCAGAAUGGGAUUCCAACCAAGGCAGGGACAGUUCAGCUGAAGCACAGAUCACGUGGUUCCACAGAGGAUCCCCAGGGAGGCUGUGCUCCAAUCGCUCCAUGAACGGUGACAACUAUGAGGAGCAACAACCAAAGAGACAUGAGGCCAGAGGCAGGAAGACUAAUUAGGAGCCAUGGCCCCCACACAGUCACGAGACAACGGAAAUCAGUGGA